GUAGACAUAGUUUAAUAAAAAUCUUAGAUUGUGAUUCUAAAAAUAGGGGUUAAAACCCUCUUGUCCACC
rnacentral:tRNA from 4 species